rnacentral:rRNA from 1 species
CCUACGGGAGGCAGCAGUGGGGAAUUUUGGACAAUGGGCGAAAGCCUGAUCCAGCCAUUCCGCGUGCAGGAUGAAGGCCCUCGGGUUGUAAACUGCUUUUGUACAGAACGAAAAGGUUUCUACUAAUACUAGGAGCUCAUGACGGUACUGUAAGAAUAAGCACCGGCUAACUACGUGCCAGCAGCCGCGGUAAUACGUAGGGUGCAAGCGUUAAUCGGAAUUACUGGGCGUAAAGCGUGCGCAGGCGGUUAUAUAAGUCAGAUGUGAAAUCCCCGGGCUCAACCUGGGAACUGCAUUCGAGACUGUAUAGCUAGAGUACGGUAGAGGGGGAUGGAAUUCCGCGUGUAGCAGUGAAAUGCGUAGAUAUGCGGAGGAACACCGAUGGCGAAGGCAAUCCCCUGGACCUGUACUGACGCUCAUGCACGAAGACGUGGGAGGACGAACAGAGUAGUAUACCUACGUAGUACGACGACCUAACCG